rnacentral:lncRNA from 1 species
GUCAUUUUAUUUUCAAAACAACACAUUGACUGAGAUGCUGAGCACAAUAUUUAUUGUGAAUGUCCGAAACAGACAUGGCAAAACUUUGAAAUAAAAAUACUGGGAGAAAUGAAAAAGGUACUUACAGUUCUUUAUCUAUUAAAGAAAAAAAGUCACUUUUUGUUCUCUUCCUGCCAUGGAAAGUGAGCAGUGUCCCUGAGAAUGAAGUCUAAAGCUACCUGGGGUGUGUGAAAUCAUCGAGGUCCAACUGUCUUCACCAACACAAAGAAGUCAUAAAGUCUUUCAGAGUGUGAGAAGAUCUGAAGCUCUUCCACCCUGAUGGGACAGACCUGGUCAUGUGCCCAAAUCUCAGCCACCAAGUGUGGAGUUUGGAAAAGUGUAAUCGGAUUAAGUCCAGGAGGGCCUUCUCAGGAGCUCCAAGUACACUUACUAGGAAUUUCUCUCAUCUGGGCUCCUUCAUCUCUCCUACACUGUUCUUGUAUAUGUCAGACAAUUCUACGGGUUCGCCCAUCAUCUCCAUGAAGAUAUCUCCCAAGUCUAUAGCACUGGAUGUAAUCAUCAAGGACUUUUCACGACGGCUCUGUUCAGAUGAUCAACUCCCCACCUUGACCUUGAGCACAUCUCCCCAUUUUACGUCCCACUGCAAGACAAAAGUUUAGUGUGAAUAUGUGGCACAAGACAGUUUUCUUCUCCUCAUAUGCAUCUUACAAAAGUGAAAAGGUGAAUCAAGGAUGCAAACUAUUUUCAGCAAUACUGGGAGGAAAGUAAAAAAUGAGAAUGUAAAAUUAUACCUCAGUGGUGCUGAAAGCUGCAGGCUCUUUUUUGAUGCUGUACAGGGAGAAGAACAGCAGAGGCUGAGAGGCCAGGAGGGUAGAGAAUGUGGCACAAUGGGGCAGAUGUUUGGAAACUCCAGCAUGAAUUCACUUCCUGUUACUAAUGGGCUCAACGGGGAAAUGACAAUUCUGUUUUCUUUCAUGAAACAGGGUGGAGAUAAACAGAAGGCCCACAGAGAAAAGAUAACUGAAGUGUUUUCUACUACCAUCAUGUGAGAAUGUAAACUGCAAGCUGAACAAGGCCAUGUAAGAAAGUGCAUUGAGGGAGUAGCCCAGCUUCAGGCUGGUAAGUGGCCAUUUCCUGCCUGUCUGCCUAUAGCUCUUAGUGCAAAGUUUUGCUUUAAAUUUUUUUUUAAUGUUAAUUUAUUUUU